rfam:[Clostridium] paradoxum JW-YL-7 = DSM 7308 strain JW-YL-7 ctg1, whole genome shotgun sequence.
UAAAUUUUAAAAUUAUUCGCUCAUAUAACUUCGGUAAUAUGGUCCGAAAGUCUCUACCGAGAAACCGUAAAUUUCUCGACUAUGGGUGAAAUUAUUGUUAUA